rnacentral:rRNA from 1 species
UGGGGGAUUAGUGGCGAACGGGUGAGUAACACGUGGGCAAUCUGCCCUGCACUCUGGGACAAGCCCUGGAAACGGGGUCUAAUACCGGAUGAUACCCGGGGGCGCAUGCCCUUGGGUUGAAAGCUCCGGCGGUGCAGGAUGAGCCCGCGGCCUAUCAGCUUGUUGGUGGGGUGAUGGCCUACCAAGGCGACGACGGGUAGCCGGCCUGAGAGGGCGACCGGCCACACUGGGACUGAGACACGGCCCAGACUCCUACGGGAGGCAGCAGUGGGGAAUAUUGCACAAUGGGCGAAAGCCUGAUGCAGCGACGCCGCGUGAGGGAUGACGGCCUUCGGGUUGUAAACCUCUUUCAGCAGGGAAGAAGCGAAAGUGACGGUACCUGCAGAAGAAGCGCCGGCUAACUACGUGCCAGCAGCCGCGGUAAUACGUAGGGCGCAAGCGUUGUCCGGAAUUAUUGGGCGUAAAGAGCUCGUAGGCGGCUUGUCACGUCGGUUGUGAAAGCCCGGGGCUUAACCCCGGGUCUGCAGUCGAUACGGGCAGGCUAGAGUGUGGUAGGGGAGAUCGGAAUUCCUGGUGUAGCGGUGAAAUGCGCAGAUAUCAGGAGGAACACCGGUGGCGAAGGCGGAUCUCUGGGCCAUUACUGACGCUGAGGAGCGAAAGCGUGGGGAGCGAACAGGAUUAGAUACCCUGGUAGUCCACGCCGUAAACGUUGGGAACUAG